rnacentral:rRNA from 1 species
GAUGAACGCUGGCGGCGUGCCUAAUACAUGCAAGUCGAGCGAACAGACGAGGAGCUUGCUCCUCUGACGUUAGCGGCGGACGGGUGAGUAACACGUGGAUAACCUAUCUAUAAGACUGGGAUAACUUCGGGAAACCGGAGCUAAUACCGGAUAAUAUAUUGAACCGCAUGGUUCAAUAGUGAAAGACGGUUUUGCUGUCACUUAUAGAUGGAUCCGCGCCGCAUUAGCUAGUUGGUAAGGUAACGGCUUACCAAGGAAACGAUGCGUAGCCGACCUGAGAGGGUGAACAGCCAAACUAGAAAUGAGACAAGGUCGAGAGUCCAAAGGGAGGAAGCAGAAGGGAAUCUUCAGCAAUGGGCGAAAGCAUGACGGAGAAACGCGGCGUGAGUGAUGAAGGUGUUCGGAUCGUAAAAAAAUGUGAUUAGGGAAGAACAAAUGUGUAAGUAACUAUGAACGUCUUGACGGUACCUAAACAGAAAGCAACGGCAAAAUACGAG